CAGGUAGGACUACCCGCUGAACUUAAGCAUACA
rnacentral:rRNA from 1 species